UACGAAGGGGGCUAGCGUUGUUCGGAAUCACUGGGCGUAAAGCGCGCGUAGGCGGUCAUGCAAGUCAGAGGUGAAAUGCCGGGGCUUAACCCCGGAACUGCCUUUGAAACUGCAUGACUGGAAUCUUGGAGGGGGUAGUGGAAUUCCUAGUGUAGAGGUGAAAUUCGUAGAUACUAGGAGGAACACCGGUGGCGAAGGCGGCUACCUGGACAAGUAUUGACGCUGAGGCGCGAAAGCGUGGGGAGCAAACAGG
rnacentral:rRNA from 1 species